AGAGACAGCAGUCGCCGCGGGAAUACGAAGGGGGCUAGCGUUGCUCGGAAUCACUGGGCGUAAAGGGUGCGUAGGCGGGUCUUUAAGUCAGGGGUGAAAUCCUGGAGCUCAACUCCAGAACUGCCUUUGAUACUGAAGAUCUUGAGUUCGGGAGAGGUGAGUGGAACUGCGGGUGUAGAGGUGAAAUUCGUAGAUAUUCGCAAGAACACCAGUGGCGAAGGCGGCUCACUGGCCCGAUACUGACGCUGAGGCACGAAAGCGUGGGGAGCAAACAGGACUAGAUACCCCGGUAGUCCCUGUCUCUUAUAC
rnacentral:rRNA from 1 species